GACGAACGCUGGCGGCGUGCUUAACACAUGCAAGUCGAACGGAAAGGCCCUGCUUUUGUGGGGUGCUCGAGUGGCGAACGGGUGAGUAACACGUGAGUAACCUGCCCUUGACUUUGGGAUAACUUCAGGAAACUGGGGCUAAUACCGGAUAGGAGCUCCUGCUGCAUGGUGGGGGUUGGAAAGUUUCGGCGGUUGGGGAUGGACUCGCGGCUUAUGAGCUUGUUGGUGGGGUAGUGGCUUACCAAGGCUUUGACGGGUAGCCGGCCUGAGAGGGUGACCGGCCACAUUGGGACUGGGAUACGGCCCAGACUCCUACGGGAGGCAGCAGUGGGGAAUAUUGCACAAUGGGCGGAAGCCUGAUGCAGCAACGCCGCGUGCGGGAUGACGGCCUUCGGGUUGUAAACCGCUUUCGCCUGUGACGAAGCGUGAGUGACGGUAAUGGGUAAAGAAGCACCGGCUAACUACGUG
rnacentral:rRNA from 1 species